rnacentral:rRNA from 1 species
GUGGCGGACGGGUGAGUAACGCGUGGGUAACCUGCCCUGUACAGGGGGACAACAGCCGGAAACGGCUGCUAAUACCGCAUAAGCCCGCGGCGCCGCAUGGCGCUGCGGGGAAAAACUCCGGUGGUACAGGAUGGGCCCGCGUCUGAUUAGCUAGUUGGCGGGGUAACGGGCCCCACCAAGGCAGCGAUCAGUAGCCGGCUUGAGAGAGUGGACGGCCACAUUGGGACUGAGACACGGCCCAGACUCCUACGGAAGGCAGCAG